rnacentral:rRNA from 1 species
GACGAACGCUGGCGGCGUGCUUAACACAUGCAAGUCGUACGGUAAGGCCCUUUCGGGGGUCCACGAGUGGCGAACGGGUGAGUAACACGUGCGUAACCUGCCCACAACUUUGGGAUAACGCUAGGAAACUGGUGCUAAUACUGGAUAUGUGCUCCUGCUGCAUGGUGGGGGUUGGAAAGCUCCGGCGGUUGUGGAUGGACUCGCGGCCUAUCAGCUUGUUGGUGGGGUAGUGGCCUACCAAGGCGGCGGCGGGUAGCCGGCCUGAGAGGGUGACCGGCCACAUUGGGACUGAGAUACGGCCCAGACUCCUACGGGAGGCAGCAGUGGGGAAGAUUGCACAAUGGGCGCAAGCCUGAUGCAGCAACGCCGCGUGCGGGAUGACGGCCUUCGGGUUGUAAACCGCUUUCAGCAGGGACGAAGCUUUUUGUGACGGUACCUGCAGAAGAAGCACCGGCUAACUACGUG